UACGUAGGGUGCAAGCGUUAAUCGGAAUUACUGGGCGUAAAGCGUGCGCAGGCGGUUGUGCAAGACAGAUGUGAAAUCCCCGGGCUCAACCUGGGAACUGCAUUUGUGACUGCACGGCUGGAGUGCGGCAGAGGGGGAUGGAAUUCCGCGUGUAGCAGUGAAAUGCGUAGAUAUGCGGAGGAACACCGAUGCGAAGGCAAUCCCCUGGGCCUGCACUGACGCUGAGGAGCGAAAGCGUGGGGAGCGAACAGG
rnacentral:rRNA from 1 species